CAACAAUCUACAAAGAAAAACAACUUUAUUUCAAAUGUAGGAGCCAUAUCCUCUGUGAAUGUGUGACCAGUCAAGUGGGGAGGAUUUGUGGGAGGAGACUGAGAAGACACACCCCCAGCAUGUUGUAGUCCUACACAUGAACCAGCACAGGGGGCGGCUACUUUUCAGCACACAUAGGGACCAUGGAGAAGAAAAGUAACCACGCUCUGGCAGGAAG